CAUUCCUGCAGAGCCAGGACGCCAGGUAGGCAGCACUCAGAGCAGGUCCCAAGCUGUGUUCCAGACACACUGCCAGGCAGACCCAGCCCUCGCUUCCUGCCUCACCUUGAAGAUCUUUCGGGCAUAGCUGUCGUCCACCUGGAUGUUGAGCUCCUUCAGAAAGUUUUGUAGCUCUUUGAAGCUCAUCUUGUUGUCCUUGUUUUUGUCAGCUUUUCGCAAGCAGGAAUGAAUCCAGCUGGGCAAGAAGUAAGGAAAGAACCCCAGGAGCCGUGGUACCCCCCAGGUCCCAGCCAGAGGCAUGGUUCAAGCUCAUGGUCAACUCCCAGGCCCAGGUGGACUGAGGGCCCCUAUAGACACUGCUCCCCGCAGGCCUGGCUGUUGGCACAUCUGCAUUUCAGGGGUUCAUUACAGACAGUUGAGAAAAUGAAGAAAAGUAAACAAAGGCCCCACAGUUCUAUCAGCCAGGGGUACCUACUGUUAACAUUUCAAGAAUGAUGAGGAUAUUCUAAAAUUCAUUGGCUGAUGGGUUGCAUAACUGUGAAUACACUAAAAAGCAUGGAUUUGUACACUUCUGGUGGAUGAUUUACGUGACAGAAGACAGCCAUCUACAAGCCAGGAAGAGAGCUCCCACCAGAACCCGACCCUGCUUGGCACCCUGCUCUUGGAUUUCCAGCCUCCAGAACUGUGAGCAAAUUGAUUUCUGUUGUUUAAGCCACCCAGUCUAUGGUAUGUUGGCCCAAGCCAGGUGUCUUCCAUACUGAGGCUGCCCUGGGGAUAAGCAUAGCCAGUAGCCACAGGCUGGGUCUGGGUCCACUGCCCCCAAAA